rnacentral:rRNA from 1 species
AACGGGUGAGUAACACGUGGGUGCUGCCCAUGACUUUGGGAUAAGCCUGGGAAACUGGGUCUAAUACCGGAUAUGACCAUGAUGCAUGUUCUGUGGUGGAAAGCUUUUGCGGUUGGGGAUGGGCCCGCGGCCUAUCAGCGUUGGUGGGGUAAUGGCCUACCAAGGCGACGACGGGUAGCCGACCUGAGAGGGUGAUCCCACACUGGGACUGAGACACGGCCCAGACUCCUACGGGAGGCAGCAGUGGGGAAUAUUACAAUGGGCGCAAGCCUGAUGCAGCGACGCCGCGUGAGGGAUGACGGCCUUCGGGUUGAACCUCUUUCAGUAGGGACGAAGCUUCGGUGACGGUACCUGCAGAAGAAGCACCGGCCCUACGUGCCAGCAGCCGCGGUAAUACGUAGGGUGCGAGCGUUGUCCGGAAUUACUGGGUAAAGAGCUCGUAGGCGGUUUGUCGCGUCGUCUGUGAAAUUCUGCAACUCAAUUGCAGGUGCAGGCGAUACGGGCAGACUUGAGUACUACAGGGGAGACUGGAACUCCUGGUGUAGGUGAAAUGCGCAGAUAUCAGGAGGAACACCGGUGGCGAAGGCGGGUCUCUGGGUAGUAUGACGCUGAGGAGCGAAAGCGUGGGUAGCGAACAGGAUUAGAUACCCUGGUAGUCCACCGUAAACGGUGGGUACUAGGUGUGGGUUCCAUUUCACGGGAUCCGUGCCGUAGCUAAC